rnacentral:rRNA from 1 species
UACGUAGGGCGCAAGCGUUGUCCGGAAUUAUUGGGCGUAAAGAGCUCGUAGGUGGCUUGUCACGUCGGGUGUGAAAGCUUGGGGCUUAACUCCAGGUCUGCAUUCGAUACUGCCGUGCUUGAGGACUGGAGAGGAGACUGGAAUUUACGGUGUAGCGGUGAAAUGCAUUGAGAUCGGAAAGAACACCACCGGCGAAAGCACUCUGCUGGGCCGACACUGACACUGAGAGACGAAAGCUAGGGGAGCAAAUGGG